GACGAACGCUGGCGGCGUGCUUAACACAUGCAAGUCGAACGGAAAGGCCCUGCUUUUGUGGGGUGCUCGAGUGGCGAACGGGUGAGUAACACGUGAGUAACCUGCCCUUGACUUUGGGAUAACUUCAGGAAACUGGGGCUAAUACCGGAUAGGAGCUCCUGCUGCAUGGUGGGGGUUGGAAAGUUUCGGCGGUUGGGGAUGGACUCGCGGCUUAUCAGCUUGUUGGUGGGGUAGUGGCUUACCAAGGCUUUGACGGGUAGCCGGCCUGAGAGGGUGACCGGCCACAUUGGGAUUGAGAUACGGCCCAGACGCCUACGGGAGGCAGCAGUGGGGAAUAUUGCACAAUGGGCGGAAGCCUGAUGCAGCAACGCCGCGUGCGGGAUGACGGCCUUCGGGUUGUAAACCGCUUUCGCCUGUGACGAAGCGUGAGUGACGGUAAUGGGUAAAGAAGCACCGGCUAACUACGUG
rnacentral:rRNA from 1 species